ensembl:ncRNA C06A12.20 ncRNA
UUACGUUUAAUAGCGCUCUUAUAGUCGGGGUCAUCUGUUCUGAUGUAUUUUCCCUUUUGCCUGCUGUAUAGUUUCCUAGUGAACGAGUUUUGUACGGAUUCAAUUGCUUUAAUAUCUUGUUUUUUCAACGGACUACUUACUUCGGUACCAUAUUCAAGUAUGGGUCUCACAAAAGUUUUGUAAAGUAAUGUAUGGAGCCUUGUGUUCUUACUACAAUAGUUCGAAAAUAUUUGAUGGAUCAUAAACUUAGAUUUCAUUACUGAUUUUUUCCAAUGCAUUGAAAAGCUAAGGUUUGGUUCAAUUUGAAAUCCUAGAGUACUCCGAGUAAUUGGACUAUUUUCUAUUUUUUAUUUGUCCAUUUAUUUACAAAAACGAACUUCUGCAUCGGCCGAUUUUUCUGGUGAAAUAGGCAUUUUUCUUCAAAAAGCAAUCAAGUUUCAUUUGAUUAUAGCUUUUUUAUCGAUUCUGGCUCUUUUUUAGAUGUUUCACAAUUGUUGCCUGGUGUGGAUGGUGCAGUAAUUAUAUAUUCUUCCCGUGCCUUAUGAAUGCAAUAUUAUACAUUAUCUCACUAGUUAUGUAUUGCAUUUACAAAACUUUGAGUGUUCUGUUCUGAUAAAGCCUAAGAUUACAAGUGAAGAAAUUUUGAUACGAGUGAAGUUAACUACAAUCAUUCAAAAAAAAACCAGUAUCAUUCUGCUUUAUUAAAGUUUACUUUUUUUUACAAAACAA